rnacentral:rRNA from 1 species
CCAGUAAACGGCGGCCGUAACUAUAACGGUCCUAAGGUAGCGAAAUUCCUUGUCGGGUAAGUUCCGACCUGCACGAAUGGCGUAAUGAUGGCCAGGCUGUCUCCACCCGAGACUCAGUGAAAUUGAACUCGCUGUGAAGAUGCAGUGUACCCGCGGCAAGACGGAAAGACCCCGUGAACCUUUACUAUAGCUUGACACUGAACAUUGAGCCUUGAUGUGUAGGAUAGGUGGGAGGCUUUGAAGUGUGGACGCCAGUCUGCAUGGAGCCAACCUUGAAAUACCACCCUUUAACGUUUGAUGUUCUAACCUAGGCCCAUAAACUGGGUCGGGGACCGUGUCUGGUGGGUAGUUUGACUGGGGCGGUCUCCUCCUAAAGAGUAACGGAGGAGCACGAAGGUUGGCUAAGCAUGGUCGGACAUCAUGCGGUUAGUGCAAAGGCAUAAGCCAGCUUGACUGCGAGAGUGACGGCUCGAGCAGGUACGAAAGUAGGUCUUAGUGAUCCGGUGGUUCUGAAUGGAAGGGCCAUCGCUCAACGGAUAAAAGGUACUCCGGGGAUAACAGGCUGAUACCGCCCAAGAGUUCAUAUCGACGGCGGUGUUUGGCACCUCGAUGUCGGCUCAUCACAUCCUGGGGCUGAAGUAGGUCCCAAGGGUAUGGCUGUUCGCCAUUUAAAGUGGUACGCGAGCUGGGUUUAGAACGUCGUGAGACAGUUCGGUCCCUAUCUGCCGUGGGCGUUGGAAGAUUGAGAGGGGUUGCUCCUAGUACGAGAGGACCGGAGUGAACGCACCACUGGUGUUCGGGUUGUCAUGCCAAUGGCAUUGCCCGGUAGCUAAGUGCGGAAGAGAUAACCGCUGAAAGCAUCUAAGCGGGAAAC